rnacentral:rRNA from 1 species
GAUGAACGCUGGCGGCGUGCUUAACACAUGCAAGUCGAACGAUGAAGCUCAGCUUGCUGGGUGGAUUAGUGGCGAACGGGUGAGUAACACGUGAGUAACCUGCCCUUAACUCUGGGAUAAGCCUUGGAAACUAGGUCUAAUACCGGAUAGGAGCGCCUACCGCAUGGUGGGUGUUGGAAAGAUUUAUCGGUUUUGGAUGGACUCGCGGCCUAUCAGCUUGUUGGUGAGGUAAUGGCUCACCAAGGCGACGACGGGUAGCCGGCCUGAGAGGGUGACCGGCCACACUGGGACUGAGACACGGCCCAGACUCCUACGGGAGGCAGCAGUGGGGAAUAUUGCACAAUGGGCGAAAGCCUGAUGCAGCGACGCCGCGUGAGGGAUGACGGCCUUCGGGUUGUAAACCUCUUUCAGUAGGGAAGAAGCGAAAGUGACGGUACCUGCAGAAGAAGCACCGGCUAACUACGUG